AGUACACCGAGGACUAUUGUGGCUGCUGGGUGGAGAAAAAUAGUUGACCUCGAUCACCUAAUAAUUAUAUUAUAAGUUUAUUAGUACUAAGUCAACAUAAAACACUAAAGAGACAACAGACAACUUAAUUUAUGCCGAAAAUCCGGUAGAGUUUUUCCUAUAUUUAUGACCUACCCAACCUGAAAAAAGCUUUAAAAUACAUUUCUAUAUAUGUCAAUCACACAAUCACAACUCAAUC
rnacentral:misc_RNA from 1 species